rnacentral:rRNA from 1 species
GAUGAACGCUGGCGGCGUGCCUAAUACAUGCAAGUCGAGCGAACUGAUUAGAAGCUUGCUUCUAUGACGUUAGCGGCGGACGGGUGAGUAACACGUGGGCAACCUGCCUGUAAGACUGGGAUAACUUCGGGAAACCGAAGCUAAUACCGGAUAGGAUCUUCUCCUUCAUGGGAGAUGAUUGAAAGAUGGUUUCGGCUAUCACUUACAGAUGGGCCCGCGGUGCAUUAGCUAGUUGGUGAGGUAACGGCUCACCAAGGCAACGAUGCAUAGCCGACCUGAGAGGGUGAUCGGCCACACUGGGACUGAGGCACGGCCCAGACUCCUACGGGAGGCAGCAGUAGGGAAUCUUCCGCAAUGGACGAAAGUCUGACGGAGCAACGCCGCGUGAGUGAUGAAGGCUUUCGGGUCGUAAAACUCUGUUGUUAGGGAAGAAUAAGUACAAGAGUAACUGCUUGUACCUUGACGGUACCUAACCAGAAAGCCACGGCUAACUACGUGCCAGCAGCCGCCGUAAUAC